rnacentral:ncRNA from 2 species
GUAUCCCGGCGACAUUCUGGUUCCGGCAUCCCCGGAGAAUAGGGAACGCGGUGCAAACCCGCGACUGCCCCCGCAACUGUGAGCGGCGAGCGUCAUCGGCAACAUGCCACUGGGUGAAAGCCCGGGAAGGCCCGAGCGACGCAACGACCCGCAAGUCAGGAGACCUGCCAGGAUGAUCACCCUCCC